rnacentral:rRNA from 1 species
GGGUUGUGAGGUUAAGCGACUAAGCGUACACGGUGGAUGCCCUGGCAGUCAGAGGCGAUGAAGGACGUGCUAAUCUGCGAUAAGCGUCGGUGAGGUGAUAUGAACCGUUAUAACCGGCGAUUUCCGAAUG